UACAGAGGGUGCAAGCGUUAAUCGGAAUUACUGGGCGUAAAGCGAGCGUAGUCGGUUAUUUAAGUCGGAUGUGAAAUCCCCGGGCUCAACCUGGGAAUUGCAUUCGAUACUGGGUAGCUAGAGUUCGGCAGAGGGAAGCGGAAUUUCGGGUGUAGCGGUGAAAUGCGUAGAUAUCCGAAGGAACAUCAGUGGCGAAAGCGGCUUCCUGGACCAGAACUGACGAUCAGGCUCGAAAGCGUGGGGAGCAAACAGG
rnacentral:rRNA from 2 species